CCUACGGGAGGCAGCAGUGGGGAAUAUUGCACAAUGGGGGAAACCCUGAUGCAGCGACGCCGCGUGAGUGAGGAAGUAUUUCGGUAUGUAAAGCUCUAUCAGCAGGGAAGAAAAUGACGGUACCUGACUAAGAAGCCCCGGCUAACUACGUGCCAGCAGCAGCGGUAAUACGUAGGGGGCAAGCGUUAUCCGGAUUUACUGGGUGUAAAGGGAGCGUAGACGGCUAAUCAAGUCAGAAGUGAAAACCCGGGGCUCAACCUUGGGACUGCUUUUGAAACUGAGUAGCUAGAGUGCAGGAGAGGUAAGCGGAAUUCCUAGUGUAGCGGUGAAAUGCGUAGAUAUUAGGAGGAACACCAGUGGCGAAGGCGGCUUACUGGACUGUAACUGACGUUGAGGCUCGAAAGCGUGGGGAGCAAACAGGAUUAGAUACCCUGGUAGUC
rnacentral:rRNA from 1 species